rnacentral:misc_RNA from 1 species
AGCAGCCGCGGUAAUUCCAGCUCCAAUAGCGUAUAUUAAAGUUGUUGCAGUUAAAAAGCUCGUAGUUGAAUUUCGGGGUUAGCAGGUCGGUCGUGCCAUCGGUAUGAACUGGUCUCGCUGAUCCCUCCCUCUUGACGAACUGUGAUGCCAUUAAUUUGGUGUCGCAGGGAAUCAGGACUGUUACUUUGAAAAAUUAGAGUGUUUAAAGCAGGCUCACGCUUGAAUACAUUAGCAUGGAAUAAUGAAAUAGGACGUUUGAUCCUAUUUUGUUGGCUUCUAGGAUUGACGUAAUGAUUAAUAGGGAUAGUUGGGGGCAUUAGUAUUCAAUUGUCAGAGGUGAAAUUCUUGGAUUUAUUGAAGACUAACUACUGCGAAAGCAUUUGCCAAGGAUGUUUUCAUUAAUCAGGAACGAAAGUUAGGGGAUCGAAGACGAUCAGAUACCGUCGUAGUCUUAACCAUAAACUAUGCCGACUAGGGAUCGGAUGAUGUUAAUUUUUAAUGACU